UCAGGAUGAACGCUGGCGGCGUGCCUAAUACAUGCAAGUCGAACGAAAACCUUCGGGUUUUAGUGGCGAACGGGUGAGUAACACGUAAGCAACCUACCCUAAAGACGAGGAUAACCAUUGGAAACAGUGGCUAAGACUGGAUAGGAAGAUAGAAGGCAUCUUUUAUCUUUUAAAAGACCUAGUAAUAGGUAUGCUUUAGGAGGGGCUUGCGCCAUAUUAGUUAGUUGGUAGGGUAACGGCCUACCAAGACGAUGAUGUGUAGCUGGACUGAGAGGUUGAACAGCCACAUUGGGACUGAGACACGGCCCAAACUCCUACGGGAGGCAGCAGUAGGGAAUUUUCGGCAAUGGAGGAAACUCUGACCGAGCAACGCCGCGUGAAUGAUGAAGUACUUCGGUAUGUAAAAUUCUUUUAUCAAGGAAGAAAAGCAAGUGGUGAACCAUUUGUUUGCCGGUACUUGAUGAAUAAGCCCCGGCUAAUUAUGUGCCAGCAGCCGCGGUAAGACAUAAGGGGCGAGUGUUAUCCGGAAUUAUUGGGCGUAAAGGGUGCGUAGGCGGUAUAGUAAGUCAGUGGUGUAAUGGCAACGCUUAACGUUGUCCGGCUAUUGAAACUGCUACACUUGAGUUAGAUAGAGGCGAGUGGAAUUCCAUGUGUAGCGGUAAAAUGCGUAAAUAUAUGGAGGAACACCAGAGGCGUAGGCGGCUCGCUGGGUCUUAACUGACGCUGAGGCACGAAAGCGUGGGGAGCAAACAGGAUUAGAUACCCUGGUAGUCCACGCCGUAAACGAUGAGUACUAAGUGUCGGGUUAAACCGGUACUGAAGUUAACACAUUAAGUACUCCGCCUGAGUAGUACGUACGCAAGUAUGAAACUUAAAGGAAUUGACGGGACUCCGCACAAGCGGUGGAUCAUGUUGUUUAAUUCGAAGAUACCCGAAAAACCUUACCAGGUCUUGACAUGUUUUUGCGAAACAGUAGUAAUAUUGUGGAGGUUAUCAGAAACACAGGUGGUGCAUGGUUGUCGUCAGCUCGUGUCGUGAGAUGUUAGGUUAAGUCCUAAAACGAGCGAAACCCUUAUCGUUAGUUGCCAGCACGUUAUGGUGGGGACUUUAACGAGACUGCCAAUGAUAAAUUGGAGGAAGGUGAGGAUCACGUCAAAUCAGCAUGCCCCUUAUGACCUGGGCUACAAACGUGAUACAAUGGCUGUUACAAAGGGUAGCUGAAACGUAAGUUUUUGGCCAAUCCCCAAAAACAGUCCCAGUCCGGAUUGAAGUCUGCAACUCGACUUCAUGAAGUUGGAAUCGCUAGUAAUCGCGAAUCAGCAUGUCGCGGUGAAUACGUUCUCGGGGUUUGUACACACCGCCCGUCAAACCACGAAAGUUGGCAAUACCCCAAAACGGUAGCCUAACUCGGUUCUCCGAGAGGGCGUCGUCUAAGGUAGG
rnacentral:rRNA from 1 species